rnacentral:lncRNA from 1 species
CGACCGGCGGCUUGGGCUUGGACGGACCCGGCUUGGGCUUCGGGGUCGGGUCUGGCUUCGGAGUGGGCUUUCCUGCAUCAGGAGCGGGCUGCGGUUCGGGUUUCGGCUUCGGUUGAUCUGGUUGAGUAGGCUUGGGCUUCGGUUGAUCUGGUUGAGUAGGCUUAGGCUUCGGCUGUUCUGGUUGAGUAGGCUUGGGCUUGGGCUGCUCUGGUUCAGUAGGCUUGGGCUUGGGCUGCUCUGGUUUAGUGGGCUUUAGCUUGGGGUCAAUGACGUCUGCUCCGUCGGCCUCCGCUGCAGCCACAGCGACGACGAGCAGC